ensembl:ncRNA C06G1.14 ncRNA
AACUGAAAUAGAGAAAGUUGCGAAAAAAUGAAAGCGCUAGAAGAGAUAAGAUUAGCAGAUAUACCCCCGCAUAGUGUGAAGAACAAUAUUUGCAGUGCCAAGUUUCAAAUGUUUCAGUGGGGAGGGAGAGGGCUUGAAACUUG